rnacentral:rRNA from 1 species
CGGCGGACGGGUGAGUAAUGCCUAGGAAUCUGCCUGGUAGUGGGGGACAACGUUUCGAAAGGAACGCUAAUACCGCAUACGUCCUACGGGAGAAAGCAGGGGACCUUCGGGCCUUGCGCUAUCAGAUGAGCCUAGGUCGGAUUAGCUAGUUGGUGAGGUAAUGGCUUACCAAGGCGACGAUCCGUAACUGGUCUGAGAGGAUGAUCAGUCACACUGGAACUGAGACACGGUCCAGACUCCUACGGGAGGCAGCAGCU